rnacentral:rRNA from 1 species
AACUGGCAGGGCUUGAGUCUCGUAGAGGGGGGUAGAAUUCCAGGUGUAGCGGUGAAAUGCGUAGAGAUCUGGAGGAAUACCGGUGGCGAAGGCGGCCCCCUGGACGAAGACUGACGCUCAGGUGCGAAAGCGUGGGGGAGCAAACAGGAUUAGAUACCCUGGUAGUCCACGCCCGUAAACGAUGUCGACUUGGAGGUUGUUCCCUUGAGGAGUGGCUUCCGGAGCUAACGCGUUAAGUCGACCGCCUGGGGAGUACGGCCGCAAGGUUAAAACUCAAAUGAAUUGACGGGGGCCCGCACAAGCGGUGGAGCAUGUGGUUUAAUUCGAUGCAACGCGAAGAACCUUACCUACUCUUGACAUCCACGGAAUUCGGCAGAGAUGCCUUAGUGCCUUCGGGAACCGUGAGACAGGUGCUGCAUGGCUGUCGUCAGCUCGUGUUGUGAAAUGUUGGGUUAAGUCCCGCAACGAGCGCAACCCUUAUCCUUUGUUGCCAGCGAUUCGGUCGGGAACUCAAAGGAGACUGCCGGUGAUAAACCGGAGGAAGGUGGGGAUGACGUCAAGUCAUCAUGGCCCUUACGAGUAGGGCUACACACGUGCUACAAUGGCGCAUACAAAGAGAAGCGACCUCGCGAGAGCAAGCGGACCUCAUAAAGUGCGUCGUAGUCCGGAUCGGAGUCUGCAACUCGACUCCGUGAAGUCGGAAUCGCUAGUAAUCGUGGAUCAGAAUGCCACGGUGAAUACGUUCCCGGGCCUUGUACACACCGCCCGUCACACCAUGGGAGUGGGUUGCAAAAGAAGUAGGUAGCUUAACCUUCGGAGGGCGCUACGACACA